rnacentral:rRNA from 1 species
UCCAGACUCCUACGGGAGGCAGCAGUGGGGGAUAUUGCACAAUGGGGGAAACCCUGAUGCAGCGACGCCGCGUGAGUGAAGACGGCCUUCGGGUUGUAAAGCUCUGUCAAUCGGGACGAAGAAGAUGACGGUACCGAUGAAGGAAGCUCCGGCUAACUACGUGCCAGCAGCCGCGGUAAUACGUAGGGAGCAAGCGUUGUCCGGAAUUACUGGGUGUAAAGGGAGCGUAGGCGGGAAUGCAAGUUGGAAGUGAAGGGUAUGGGCUCAACCCAUGAACUGCUUUCAAAACUGUAUUUCUUGAGUGAAGUAGAGGCAGGCGGAAUUCCUAGUGUAGCGGUGAAAUGCGUAGAUAUUAGGAGGAACACCAGUGGCGAAGGCGGCCUGCUGGGCUUUAACUGACGCUGAGGCUCGAAAGCGUGGGGAGCAAACAGGAUUAGAUACCCGGGUAU